rnacentral:rRNA from 1 species
UACAGAGGUGCCAAGCGUUAGGCGGAAUCACUGGGCUUAAAGCGCGUGUAGGCGGGUCGUUAAGUGUCCGAGUGAAAUCCCACGGCUCAACCGUGGAACUGCCGGGCAUACUGGCGAUCUUGAGGCAUUCAGGGGCGAGCGGAACAAAUGGUGGAGCGGUGAAAUGCGUAGAUAUCAUUUGGAACGCCAAUGGUGAAAACAGCUCGCUGGGAAUGAUCUGACGCUGAGACGCGAAAGCCAGGGGAGCGGAACGGG